rnacentral:rRNA from 1 species
AGUCACUGACAUUAGACUACCCCCGUAGUCCCAGCCGUAAACUAUGCGCGUUAGGUGUACUGGUGACCACGAGUCACCGGGGUGCCGAAGGGAAACCGUGAAACGUGCCGCCUGGGAAGUACGGUCGCAAGGCUGAAACUUAAAGGAAUUGGCGGGGGAGCACCAUAACGGGUGGAGCCUGCGGUUUAAUUGGACUCAACGCCGGAAAUCUCACCGGAUAGGACAGACAUAUGAUAGUCGGGCUGAAGACUCUACUUGAUGAUCUG